rnacentral:rRNA from 1 species
AGGUACCGUCAGUCGCACACCCUAUUCAGAUGCACGUUGUUCUUCCCCCCCGACAGUGGUUUACACCCCGAAAGGCUUCAUCCCACACGCGGCGUCGCUGCGUCAGACUUUCGUCCAUUGCGCAAUAUUCCCC